GACUUCAUUAAGCCACCAUUUCAAAUAGAUAGUCCAAUAUUUUUUUCUUGAUCAGUAGUAGUAGAUAAAAUUACUAAACUUCUAUUUCUUUAACUGCAGCACCAAUGUCAAGCAUGCGAAUUUAAACACAGUAAUACAAAAGCCAGCAUACCACAGGUGAACAGUGUGUACUCCAGAAACAGAAAAAAAAAAGAAACUUAAAUCUCCAGGACAAAAGAGUUACACUUGCUUUGCAGAAAAAGUUAUAACCACCUUGUUAACAAUGACUUUGUGCAGUUCAUUUGGAAAUAUCUAAGAAUAAAAAGCAAUACUGACUAAAGCUAUGUAAAAAUCCUCAGCAAAAGCUGUUACCAACUUAAUCAUUCACAUAAAGUAACAAAUUUAUACCCUUUUACAAGUUGAAUUCCUGGGAGUUUUCUGUGGUUUAGAAGACCAUCCAGUAUGCUGUAACUUUGGACAUUGUGUGGUUUAUUUUUAUAGUUCUCAGUUAGUAAAUGCUGACUGUUGCAAAAUAAUACACUUAAGAUUUUAAAAUUGUUUUUUGAUGAGUACAAUAUUUGGAAAUUAUGCAAUGAAUGUCAAAGCACUUCAGGAACAUGGUAUUGUCUCUGUCUGAAUUGCUGCAAAGAUUCACAUUGACUCUACUGUCAGUAGGCCUGGACUUUUAACUUGGCCUAAAUUUAAGGAUAUUCCCAUAAACACGGAAGUCCAGACCUUGUAGUUUGGUUCAUAUGCGGAUAUCCUCGUGCUCACAGAGCUUUGAUUAUGUCAGCAAGGCUAGACAUCAGCACUGAUCUUGUGUGAUUGGAUUACUGGAUUGAAGCUGCGAUUUGUCCUACUGAAACCACUUCAAGUUACUUACACAGAUAAAUCCUACUAUCAGAUUUUUUUUUAUUAUUGAUUACACUUUCUGAAAUUAAAAAAGGAAACCCCAAAACCCCACAAAAACCUCGAUUGCUUUCUCCACCUUUUCAAUGGACUAGUACACUGUCUAGUUCUGCGUUACCAAGUUUACAUAGGACUGGAAGGACAACAACUCUGGCGAAAAAUAGUAAAAGUGUUAUUUUCCUUUUCCGUGAAACAUAUGUAAAAUACCUGUGAUUUUUUAUUUCCUGUGAAUCCAUUUCCAGGCCUUAUUUAAUGCCACCACCUCGUGGGAUCAGAGAUAUUUGACAGAGUUCCUAUUUAUAAAGGAAAAUCGGAUCCCAUUUAUGUUGCCUCUUCUCUCAAGCCAUAAUUCACAUCUUCUCAUGUUUCUGGCAAAAUGAUCUAUCAAAAUUAAACCAGAAUAUGUUCAAAGCACUUUUUUUCUUGGUUGGUCUCUCUUCUUUAUGUUGGGUUGAGAAAAGUCAUCUUGGGUAUGUCACUGUCUAUCACAGCUAGAAUAUCUGCUAGGAAGCAGAAGUGCAGUUCCGAGGCAGAUCGACUGCUGGAUUUAACAUCCUUCUAGGUUGCUGGCAUUGGCAAGAAAGUAGUUCAGCUAAACAAAAGGAAAUCAGAAGAUACAGUUACAAACUGUGAACCAAUGAUUAUGAACCAGUGAGAAAAUGUGAGGAAGAUCUCUGAAAAUGAUGUUUUGACAGUGACAACACAGACCAGACAGCUUUUAUUUUGACCAACAGACUGUUGGGAACAAAAACUGUAGAUCAGAGUGAAGGACUCCAGUCUGUACAGAUGUUCUCACUCAGAAAGCAGCUAGAGGGACCGGAAAAUAAAUGAAGGCUGUCCAACUUUGAAAAAGAAUUAUUCUGAGUUCCUUGAAGCUCCCCAUGUACUGCAGGCAUCAUGUCAAUUUAUAUAAAUACACAUAAAACAACUGAUAAACCAUCUGAAAGUGAUGACAACGUGAGUGAUUAAGACUAGAUCACAUCACUGUGAGAGUAGGGUGGCUGGAACAUCAUGGGCAGCCAAAGAGAUUAGAAACCAUUACUUCAGUAUGUACCCUGCAAAUUCCAGAAGCAAUGAGGAAUCUAAAGUGAGAAUCUACAGGAUCUACAGCAGAGAGAGCAUUGAUAGCACUUUCUUAACUGUGAAUGUCUAACCACAUGCUGAAACUUCACAGACCUUACUGGAUUACAU